AUUGCUUUUCCUGACACAGACAGCGACGUGAUAACAGCUGCUUGCAAGACUUAUUUUGAGUCUUUGAAAAGGAGCCAUCGUCUCGAUCAGCCAGAAAAUGCUCCCCAGAAAAAGAAAUUAAACAAUGCAAUGAAGACUAGACAACGGAAAACAAGGUUGCUGGCCUCCAGGGCUAGAUGUGUACAGACUCCCGCUGAAAUGGCUGUGUGGGCGCAUGCAACCCUUGACCUGAUGUCAGAAGAAGAAGAUGGCGUCGUAGAUGGA